AUUGAACGCUGGCGGCAUGCUUUACACAUGCAAGUCGAACGGUAACAGGGAGCUUGCUCCGCUGACGAGUGGCGAACGGGUGAGUAAUGCAUCGGAACGUACCGUGUAAUGGGGGAUAACGUAGCGAAAGUUACGCUAAUACCGCAUACGCCCUGAGGGGGAAAGUGGUGGACCGCAAGGCCUCACGUUAUACGAGCGGCCGAUGUCGGAUUAGCUAGUUGGUGGGGUAAAGGCCUACCAAGGCGACGAUCCGUAGCGGGUCUGAGAGGAUGAUCCGCCACACUGGGACUGAGACACGGCCCAGACUCCUACGGGAGGCAGCAGUGGGGAAUUUUGGACAAUGGGGGCAACCCUGAUCCAGCCAUGCCGCGUGAGUGAAGAAGGCCUUCGGGUUGUAAAGCUCUUUCAGGUGGAAAGAAAUCUCCCGGGUGAAUACCCUGGGAGGAUAACGGUACCAUCAGAAGAAGCACCGGCUAACUACGUG
rnacentral:rRNA from 1 species